rnacentral:rRNA from 1 species
UACGAAGGGGGCUAGCGUUGCUCGGAAUCACUGGGCGUAAAGCGCACGUAGGCGGAUUGUUAAGUCAGGGGUGAAAUCCUGGAGCUCAACUCCAGAACUGCCUUUGAUACUGGCGAUCUUGAGUCCGGGAGAGGUGAGUGGAACUGCAAGUGUAGAGGUGAAAUUCGUAGAUAUUCGCAAGAACACCAGUGGCGAAGGCGGCUCA